rnacentral:tRNA from 1 species
GGCCCGUUCGUCUAGCGGCCCAGGACACUGCCCUCUCAAGGCAGAGACCAGCGGUUCGAAUCCGCUACGGGCUACCA